rnacentral:tRNA from 1 species
GGAGAGAUGUCUGAGUGGUCGAAAGAGCUCGCCUCGAAAGCGAGUGGCCCUGCAAGGGGCCCGUGGGUUCGAAUCCCACUCUCUCCGCCA